UGUUCACAUGUCUCGAUAUUCGCAAUGGGUUUCUCGUCACAUUGAUCGAGAAGCUAAUGCAGCAUCAGGCAUCUGCAAUGUCGACUGGACCGUACAGGCAUCUUCGAUGAAUCAUUCCUUAGCUUGGUAAAUCUACAUAUAACAACUGCCUUUGAAAAGUUUCUAUUGACAAGCCAAUGGCAAGAAGACCUCUGCCUAUCCUUCCUAUGCUCUUCCUUUUCCUGCUGUGUUGUGUUGCUUGUACAGGACCGCUGAGGUGGAUUCUUCUUUCGAGCUAUCUCCUCUAUUAUCUGUCGUUGUGGGUUUUGGCUGCAAUGUUAGAGGUGGGAUGAGGAUGCUCAAGCAUGGCCCAGUCUCGGUGCCAGCUCUUUGAAUUCACUAUUUCUUGCUUUCUCACUUUAUGCCGAGAACUAAUAACAUUUUCUUAUGU